CCUGCCCACUCCCCUUUAUAUUCUGCCCCAGAAGGGCAGAAGCCCCAAGUUAGGCCCAUUGUGGGCCAAGGGAUCCUCCGCCUGGCGUCCCUGGGUAUUUUAGCUGUUUGAGGCUCUUGCCUUGGGCUCUGAGAUGGCUGCAAGAAUGGUGGUGGAGAAGAGAAGCUCUUCAGGCAGAGUGAGAGCUAAGGAGUGGUUUGACUCUUUGAUCUUUACUGACCCUGUACUCAGACACAGCAGUUCAGCCAUCCUGACCUCUCCUGAAAGGCUGCUUUCAGCUAAGAGAUGCAUGACAAGCACUGACUCCCAGCCACAACCCUUCUGAGUAGUCUAACACUGUGGAGGCUACUGGGUGCAACUGGGCUCCCUCUACAUCCACUUUCUUCAGCUUCAAGACCUUCCUGCAGGAGGAGGAAGCUGGCAAGAGGAGCUGCCUUCAACCCUUCCUAUGAAUGCUUUAUGGGCAAACAAUAAAGGAAAAUUAGCAGUAAUUAAA